rnacentral:rRNA from 1 species
UUCCAGACUCCUACGGGAGGCAGCAGUGGGGGAUAUUGCACAAUGGGGGGAACCCUGAUGCAGCGACGCCGCGUGGGUGAAGGAGCGUUUCGGCGCGUAAAGCCCUAUCGGCAGGGAAGAAGGAGGACGGUACCUGACUAAGAAGCCCCGGCUAACUACGUGCCAGCAGCCGCGGUAAUACGUAGGGGGCAAGCGUUAUCCGGAUUUACUGGGUGUAAAGGGAGCGUAGACGGCUAAUCAAGUCAGAAGUGAAAACCCAGGGCUCAACCUUGGGAGUGCUUUUGAAACUGAGUAGCUAGAGUGCAGGAGAGGUAAGCGGAAUUCCUAGCGUAGCGGUGAAAUGCGUAGAUAUUAGGAGGAACACCAGUGGCGAAGGCGGCUUACUGGACUGUAACUGACGUUGAGGCUCGAAAGCGUGGGGAGCAAACAGGAUUAGAUACCCUCGUAC